rnacentral:rRNA from 1 species
GACGAACCGUGCGAACGUUAUUCGGAAUCACUGGGCUUAAAGCGCGUGUAGGCGGGGCGGCACGUCGGCCGUUGAAAUCCCCCGGCUCAACCGGGGAAGGGCGCCGAUACGACCGCCCUCGAGGAACGUAGGGGGAGCUGGAACUUCCGGUGGAGCGGUGAAAUGCGUUGAGAUCGGAAGGAACGCCCGUGGCGAAGGCGGGUCCUGGACGUUGACUGACGCUGAGACGCGAAAGCCAGGGGAGCGAAGCGGG